AUUGAACGCUGGCGGCAGGCCUAACACAUGCAAGUCGAGCGAGCGGCGGACGGGUGAGUAAUGUAUGGGGAUCUGCCCGAUAGAGGGGGAUAACUACUGGAAACGGUGGCUAAUACCGCAUACUAUCGGAUGAACCCAUAUGGGAGUAGCUAGUAGGUGGGGUAAAGGCUCACCUAGGCGACGAUCUCUAGCUGGUCUGAGAGGAUGAUCAGCCACACUGGAACUGAGACACGGCCCAGACUCCUACGGGAGGCAUCAGUGGGGAAUAUUGCACAAUGGGCGCAAGCCUGAUGCAGCCAUGCCGCGUGUAUGAAGAAGGCCUUCGGGUUGUAAAGUACUUUCAGCGGGGAGGCGUUACCCGCAGAAGAAGCACCGGCUAACUCCGUGCCAGCAGCCGCGGUAAUUC
rnacentral:rRNA from 1 species